rnacentral:tRNA from 1 species
GAAGGUAGAGCUCAGUGGUAGAGUGCAUGCCUAGCAUGCACGAGGUCCUGGGGUCCAUCCCCAGUACCUCCA